rnacentral:ncRNA from 1 species
AAAAAUGCGAUGACAGGAAACGCAGUAGCAAUGAUCUCCCUGUUUUAGAGAGCUGGUGGUUGGUGCGAAUCAGCACAAAGAUCAUGUGAAUUACAUUUCCGAGAGCUUUCUUUGUUAUGUUUUAUUGAAACAAACGACGAAGAACGGGAAACCGUUAUUUACAUUUGAGUGGAAGAAUGAUUUCUUCAAUUAGGGUGGUACCGCGUGUAAAAGUUAGACCACGUCCCUUUA